rnacentral:rRNA from 1 species
UAAGCGGGGCAUGAAAUCGUGUGGCUCAACCAUACGGCUAUGUCCUGAACUGCAAAGCUUGAGAACGAGAGAGGUCACUGGAAUUUCUAGCGUAGGAGUGAAAUCCGUAGAUAUUAGAAGGAACACCGAUGGCGUAAGCAGGUGACUGGCUCGUUUCUGACACUAAGGCACGAAAGCGUGGGAGCAAAUGGGAUUAGAUACCCCAGUAGUCCACGCCGUAAACAUGGAUGCUA